rnacentral:lncRNA from 1 species
AUGGCAGGGGUAGGGCUCUUUAUUCUUCUCCCCCACCCCCAGGAAUCCUUUGUGACUGCUUCACUGCUCUAUGAUGCAGGCUCAGAAUUCUCUGGAACACAGCACACACCUCAAGGCCCAUUGGCUGAGGUAGCAGGGAGCUUCAGACCUCAGAUGUUGGAGGCACAUCUCCUUUCUGAGGAGACUGAGGGAGACAUGAGUGUUGUUGGGCUCCUUCCUCUUCAUCCUUCCUCCUACAGGGAAAGAUUGCUACCUGCCUUCAGAAUAAAGAAAACAUCAGCCAGAUCCCAGACCUCAAGUCAGAAAGAGAGUGGCCUCUCUGUUUGGGUAUUUCCUGUGUACCAACCAUGACUGGUCAAGAUCCAAGAUCAACAUAUUGUGGCAUUCCAUGAAAAAACAAGUGUAUCAGUUAACUGUUGCUGCAAUAAUGCUAUAUAAUAAACCACCUCAAAUCUUAGUAAUAAUCA